rnacentral:lncRNA from 1 species
CAGAAAAUGAUAUAAAUGUUAUCAGCUAAUAAAGAGAUUAUCAAAGAGUAAGCAACCAAAACAAGUAGGCAAAAAGCAUCAGAGAGUAAUUAAUACAAAGAUGAUGUUGUUUUUCUGGAUUUCAUAAUGUUUAUCAUAGUUGUCAACUUUUCUCAUUCAAAAAAACCCUUAUUUUUAUACCUAAUUUUAAUUAAAAAUUUUUCAGUUUGUAUUAAAGAGGACUCCCCAAAUUAUAUGAGUUUCCAACUUCAUAAAACCUAAAUCUGUCUUUGUUCAUAUCAGAUAAAAAUAGGCCACACAGACUGCCAAGUAGGUACAGUCUUGGAACUGUCUGUGGUGCUGGACCCAAGGUUCACUUGGCUCUCUCCAUGGUACUUACUGCCCAAGCCAAAGCUGCUCCUGGUGGUGAAUAGUUGGGUUUAUUAAUGGAAGUGAGGCUUAAUGUCAUAGGAAUGGAUGCUUUUGUCCAUGGAAAAAGUGUCUCAAUAGGGUUAAGGAGAACACUACAGAUGAUUCUCAAGUAUUGGGGACACCCAAAAGAUAAGGGCAUCAAGAGUAUCAGCUCAAGGAGAACUCACCCCAAGCCAUGUCUGAGUUUACAUCAGGGGCAGAGGGGAGGAGGGACCUGGGGUGAGGGAGAGGAACCUAGAAUACAAUACACUGCAGGUGGGGGCCUUCUGAAAGGGGAAGGGAGAAGAGGGUGACUGAGAGGGGUGGUCCUGAGAGGGCCCUGAGGGUCAGAACAAAGGCCCUGCCCACUGCGUUGGUGGAAGAUUUGCUGACUGAAGCUGAGAUAUCACUGCAAAGUCCCCAUUCAGCUGAAAGCCUGUAUGAAUUGGAAUGGAUACAUUUAGAACCUGUAGAACAGUGGAUCUCAAAGUGCUGUCUCAGGACCAGCAGAACAGCCACAGCUGAGAACCUUUUACAAAUGCAAAUGGUCCAGCCCUACCUCAGACCUGCUGAAUCAGAAAUUCUGGGGGUGGGUCCCACAAUCUCUGUUUUCACAGCCCCUCAGGUGACUCUGAUGCAGGAUAAUGUCUAAGAACCACUGGGUUCCCAAGAGGAAUUAUACACAAUACCAGUAAAACAGACAGCACCAUCAGGAACAGCCAAGAUUCAAGGCAUUUUUAGAGGGUCUUGGGAGAAAUGAGGGCUUAGUCUAUCAAUGUUGGAAAGUGGACAGAGGAAACAGGAUUUAAUAAAUGCUCACAUGGACCCAGGAGUUUGAUGAUCUUCACUGUUGCCAAGAAAUUCAAGCUUAAUGUGAAAUUCAAGGCUUUCAACUAAAUUUUGGCUCUUACCUUUGCUUUUUGGACGUGACCUCUUUCAAAGGAUGAAACAUAUGGAAGCUCAAUUCAUUAUGGUCACAUCAGUGAAAGUAAUAUUUUUCUAAACACUAGGGAAGUCUUCCUUAGGAUCAGCCAGCAGAAACUGACACAAGGAGACUAAUUUUCAGCCUUGAGCAUAGGUUCCAUUUUGGAAGCAACUCAAAAUAUCUGCUAAGUGGGUCAUAUAACAUAGCCUGGUCAUCUCCUUUAGGACUAAAAGAAGAGGUGGGUCUGGAGAAAGAGGAGCGGCACAGCCUCUGAAAGAAGAACUAACUAGUGUCCCAGCUUGGGAACACCCCCCUGAACACCUGGGGGCAUCUGGUGAGUGAUCCACACAGCCCUAGCUGAUUGCAGGGCUCACACACUAUUAGGCUAAAAUCCAUCUUUUCAUUGACUUGACUUCUUCAGAGUGGCCCACCUGAUUGCUGGAGGAAGCUGGCCCUGCAUUUGCUGUAGACCUCAGGCCUGUUGUAGCGGGCAUUUAUUAUUCCCAGGAUUUUAUUGUUAUGUUUAGAAAAUCUUCAGGCUUGUGACCCUGACCUCAAGGUAGAAUCCAGAAAAGUCCAAUUUCCAGUCUUCCUUGUAGCGAGGACACAGCCAAUCCAAUGGUGUUGAAACUUUGAUGCAGAAGUGGGCAACUUGAGGAAGAGGGCUGAAAGUGGAAUCUCAUUUGAUGGUGAGAACAGCAGCAAAGCUCUCUGCUUUCAGAGGUGGCAAUAAUUGCGAAGUCAUGUCCCUGGCAUGGAAGAGACAUCACUGGGGUGGCAGCAGCAACAGUGGCAGCAGUUUCAUCAUCAGUCAUGCAGCAUGCUAUGGCUUCAGAUACCUUUUCUAGUUUCUCCAGCCUUACAAGAAUUCUAUGACCAGCUCAACAUCUUUUUCAUAAACUCAUUUUCUGACCUAGCAAGAAUUAUCUUCUUUUGAUAGCAAUUAACAUUAUGACCAAUAUGAAAAUGGACACUGGGAUUGUGACAAUCAACAGAACCUCGAGGACAUGAGGGUUACCUUGAAUUGGUUAUCUGGUCUGGCUGGGACUGAUGGUUUGGAAUAUCCAGAAGUAUUAGGGGAUGGGAUCCUGGAAGCCAAGGAUAUACUUGUAGUUACCUGGGAUGAAAUGCUCUCUGCAGUCAAUGUUUUGGGAUAUCUGGUAGGUGCUCCCAAGGUACAAUAGGAAGGUCAUGAUUCCACUCAGUUUCCAUGAUCCCUGGAGAUCCUUUAAGGCCAAGACUUCUAAUUUACUUUUCGAGUUCCAUCCUAGGCUCACUCAGGCCCACUCUCAUAUUUCUCCUUUGGAAUCUUAAAGUCCACUGGGCCUUGUAUACACUGGAUUACUCUUGGAUGAUCAAAUUUUGGGGGUAGUCCUCUCCCCUUCCCCCUCCUCUCCUCCCUUCCCUCCACUUAUGCCAAGUUACAGCCACCAGGAAAAAUGGCAAAACAUUUAUUGAGUCAUCUACAGCAGUCUGACAUCCUUAAAAUCCUGGACAAGAUAGUGAG